rnacentral:rRNA from 1 species
UACGGAGGGAGCAAGCGUUACUCGGAAUUAUUGGGCGUAAAGGGCGCGUAGGCGAUUUGAAAAGUCUUGUGUGAAAGCCCCGAGCUUAACUCGGGAAGUGCACAAGAAACUGUUGAAUUUGAGUUCCGGAGAGGAAGGCAGAAUUCCCGGUGUAGCGGUGAAAUGCGCAGAUAUCAGGAAGAACACCCGUGGCUAAGGCGGCUCUCUAGUACGGUACUGACGCUGAGACGCGAAAGCGUGGGGAGCGAACAGG